rnacentral:rRNA from 1 species
GCCCAGACUCCUACGGGAGGCAGCAGUGGGGAAUAUUGCACAAUGGGGGAAACCCUGAUGCAGCAACGCCGCGUGAGUGAGGAAGUAUUUCGGUAUGUAAAGCUCUAUCAGCAGGGAAUAGAAAAGAAGGUACCUGAAAAAGAAGCCCCGGCUAACUACGUGCCAGCAGCCGCGGUAAUACGUAGGGGGCAAGCGUUAUCCGGAUUUACUGGGUGUAAAGGGAGCGCAGGCGGGAAGCCAAGUCAGCUGUGAAAACUACGGGCUUAACUUGUAGACUGCAGUUGAAACUGGUUUUCUUGAGUGAAGUAGAGGUUGGCGGAAUUCCGAGUGUAGCGGUGAAAUGCGUAGAUAUUCGGAGGAACACCGGUGGCGAAGGCGGCCAACUGGGCUUUAACUGACGCUGAGGCUCGAAAGUGUGGGGAGCAAACAGGAUUAGAUACCCGUGUAC